rnacentral:rRNA from 1 species
GACGAACCGUGCGAACGUUGUUCGGAAUCACUGGGCUUAAAGGGCGCGUAGGCGGGCUGUCAAGUCUGGGGUGAAAUCCCACGGCUCAACCGUGGAACUGCCUCGGAUACUGACGGCCUCGAGGGAGGUAGGGGCGUGCGGAACUGUGGGUGGAGCGGUGAAAUGCGUUGAUAUCCACAGGAACUCCGGUGGCGAAGGCGGCACGCUGGACCUCUUCUGACGCUGAGGCGCGAAAGCCAGGGGAGCAAACGGG